rnacentral:rRNA from 1 species
GAGUUUGAUCAUGGCUCAGAACGUACGCUGGCGGCACGCCUAACACAUGCAAGUCGAACGAAGUAGCAAUACUUAGUGGCAGACGGGUGAGUAACAUGUGGGUAUCUGCCCUUUGGCCUGGAAUAACACGAGGAAACUUGUGCUAAUACCGGAUAAGUCUUUACGGAGAAAGCUUUAUGCACCAUUGGAUGAGCCUGCACUUGAUUAGUUUGUUGGUGGGGUAAUGGCCUACCAAGACUGUGAUCAAUAGCUGAUUUGAGAGGAUGAUCAGCCACAUUGGGACUGAGACACGGCCCAAACUCCUACGGGAGGCAGCAGUGGGGAAUCUUGCACAAUGGAGGAAACUCUGAUGCAGCGAUGCCGCGUGAGUGAAGAAGGCCUUUGGGUUGUAAAGCUCUUUCGUCGGGGAAGAAAAUGACUGUACCCGAAUAAGAAGGUCCGGCUAACUUCGUGCCAGCAGCCGCGGUAAUACGAAGGGACCUAGCGUAGUUCGGAAUUACUGGGCUUAAAGAGUUCGUAGGUGGUUGAAAAAGUUAGUGGUGAAAUCCCAGAGCUUAACUCUGGAACUGCCAUUAAAACUUUUCAGCUAGAGUAUGAUAGAGGAAAGCAGAAUUUCUAGUGUAGAGGUGAAAUUCGUAGAUAUUAGAAAGAAUACCAAUUGCGAAGGCAGCUUUCUGGAUCAUUACUGACACUGAGGAACGAAAGCAUGGGUAGCGAAGAGGAUUAGAUACCCUCGUAGUCCAUGCCGUAAACGAUGUGUGUUAGACGUUGGAAAUUUAUUUUCAGUGUCGCAGGGAAACCGAUAAACACACCGCCUGGGGAGUACGACCGCAAGGUUAAAACUCAAAUGAAUUGACGGGGACCCGCACAAGUAGUGGAGCAUGUGGUUUAAUUCGAAGAUACGCGCAGAACCUUACCAACACUUGACAUGUUCGUCGCGACUCUAAGAGAUUAGAGUUUUCGGUUCGGCCGGACGAAACACAGGUGCUGCAUGGCUGUCGUCAGCUCGUGUCGUGAGAUGUUGGGUUAAGUCCCGCAACGAGCGCAACCCUCACUUUUAGUUGCCAUCAUUAAGUUGGGCACUCUGAAAGAACUGCCAGUGAUAAGCUGGAGGAAGGUGGGGAUGACGUCAAGUCCUCAUGGCCCUUACGUGUUGGGCUACACACGUGCUACAAUGGUAUCUACAACAGGAAGCAAGACUGCGAAGUUAAGCAAAUCCCUAAAAGAUACCUCAGUUCGGAUUGCACUCUGCAACUCGAGUGCAUGAAGCUGGAAUUACUAGUAAUCGUGGAUCAGCGUGCCACGGUGAAUGCGUUCCCGGGUCUUGUACACACCGCCCGUCACACCAUGGGAGUUGGUUCUACCUUAAGGCAAGGUUUCAAACCCUUGACCACGGUAUAGUCAGCGACUGGGGUGAAGUCGUAACAAGGUAACC